AAUGAACGUUGGCGGCGUGGAUUAGGCAUGCAAGUCGAGCGCUCACCCGCAAGGGUGGGAGCGGCGAAAGGGAGAGUAACGCGUGGGUAUCUGCCCUCGGGACUGGGAUAGCUGCGGGAAACUGCAGGUAAUACCAGAUGACGUCCCCGGACCAAAGGUGUGAUUCCGCCUGAGGAUGAGCCCGCGUCCUAUUAGCUUGUUGGUGGGGUAAUGGCCUACCAAGGCAAUGAUGGGUACUGGGUGUGAGAGCACGACCCAGCUCACUGGGACUGAGACACUGCCCAGACACCUACGGGUGGCUGCAGUCGAGAAUCUUCGGCAAUGGGCGAAAGCCUGACCGAGCGACGCCGCGUGUGGGAUGAAGGCCUUCGGGUUGUAAACCGCUGUCGGAGGGGAGGAAAUCAGUAGGGGUUCGCCCCUAUUGUUGACCUAUCCGCAGAGGAAGUGUGGGCUAAGCUCGUGCCAGCAGCCGCGGUAACAC
rnacentral:rRNA from 1 species